UACAGAGGGGCAAGCGUUGUUCGGAAUUACUGGGCGUAAAGGGCGCGUAGGCGGCCCGCUAAGUCGAACGUGAAAUCCCCAGGCUACAACCUGGGGAACUGCGUCCGAUACUGGCAGGCUUGAAUCCGGGAGAGGGAUGUGGAAUUCCAGGUGUAGGCGGUGAAAUGCGUAGAUAGUCGGAAGGAACACCAGUGGCGAAGGCGGCUACCUGGCAUGAUAACU
rnacentral:rRNA from 1 species